rnacentral:rRNA from 1 species
AUUGAACGCUGGCGGCAGGCCUAACACAUGCAAGUCGAACGAGUGGCGGACGGGUGAGUAAUGUCUGGGAAACUGCCUGAUGGAGGGGGAUAACUACUGGAAACGGUAGCUUAUACCGCAUACCAUCAGAUGUGCCCAGAUGGGAUUAGCUAGUUGGUGGGGUAACGGCUCACCAAGGCGACGAUCCCUAGCUGGGCUGAGAGGAUGACCGGCCACACGGGAACUGAGCAACGGUCCAAACUCUCACGGGAGGCAGCAGUGGGGAAUAUUGCGGAAUGGGCGCAAGCCUGAUGAAGCCAUGCCGCUUGUAUGAAGAAGGCCUUCGGGUUGUAAAGUACUUUCAGCGGAGAGGCGUUACCCGCAGAAGAAGCACCGGCUAACUCCGUGCCAGCCGCCGCGGUAAUUC